rnacentral:rRNA from 1 species
AGAGUUGAUCAUGGCUCAGAAUCAACGCUGGCGGCGUGCCUCAGACAUGCAAGUCGAACGAGAAAGUUCCCUUCGGGGAAUAAGUAAAGUGGCGCACGGGUGAGUAACACGUAGGUAAUCUACCUUCGGGUGGGGAAUAACCCAGGGAAACUUGGGCUAACACCGCAUGAUGCAGCGGCACCACAUGGUGACAGUUGUUAAAGCGGGGGAUUUUCGGACCUCGCGCCUGAAGAGGAGCCUGCGGCGGAUUAGCUAGUUGGUGAGGUAACGGCUCACCAAGGUAACGAUCCGUAGCCGGCCUGAGAGGGCGGUCAGCCACACUGACACUGACAUACGGGUCAGACUCCUACGGGAGGCAGCAGUCGGGAAUUUUGGGCAAUGGGCGAAAGCCUGACCCAGCAACGCCGCGUGAAGGAUGAAAUCCCUCGGGAUGUAAACUUCGCAAGAAUGGGAAGAAUUAGCGAGCGCUAAUACCGCUCGUGAUGACGGUACCAUUUGUAAGCUCCGGCUAACUCCGUGCCAGCAGCCGCGGUAAUACGGGGGGAGCAAGCGUUGUUCGGAUUUACUGGGCGUAAAGGGCGCGUAGGCGGUCAGUGCAAGUCAGUUGUGAAAUCUCCGGGCUUAACUCGGAAAGGUCAACUGAUACUGCUCGACUAGAGUGCGGAAGGGGCAACUGGAAUUCUCGGUGUAGCGGUGAAAUGCGUAGAUAUCGAGAGGAACACCUGCGGCGAAAGCGGGUUGCUGGGCCGACACUGACGCUGAUGCGCGAAAGCCAGGGGAGCGAACGGGAUUAGAUACCCCGGUAGUCCUGGCCUUAAACGAUGGAUGCUUGGUGUCUGGGGUUUUAUAGUCCCCGGGUGCCGCAGCUAACGCGUUAAGCAUCCCGCCUGGGGGAGUACGGUCGCAAGACUGAAACUCAAGGAAUUGACGG